GACUCUCGGCAACGGAUAUCUCGGCUCUCGCAUCGAUGAAGAACGUAGCGUAAAUGUGAAUUUCACUAGAAAGGACCUAGUAGUAAACUUUGAAAGUAUGAUGGGGAAAUGUGUGAUG
rnacentral:rRNA from 1 species